CCUACGGGAGGCAGCAGUGGGGAAUAUUGCACAAUGGGGGAAACCCUGAUGCAGCGACGCCGCGUGAGUGAAGAAGCGUUUCGGCGCGUAAAGCUCUGUCAGCGGGGAAGAAACACGGUUCGCGAGAGCCGCGGACGGUACCCGACCAAGAAGCCACGGCCAACGACGUGCCAGCAGCCGCGGUAAUACGUAGGGGGCAAGCGUUUGCCGGAUUCACUGGGUGUAAAGGGAGGGUAGACGGGGAGACAAGUCUGGAGGGAAAGUCCGGGGCCCAACCCCGGGACUGUUCUGGAUACUGCCUGGAUGGAGUACAGGAGAGGUAAGUGGAAUUCGUAGUGUAGCGGUGAAAUGCGUAGAUAUUAGGAGGAACACCAGGGGCGAAGGCGGCUUACUGGACUGUAACUGACGUUGAGGCUCGAAAGCGUGGGGAGCAAACAGGAUUAGAUACCCCAGUAGUC
rnacentral:rRNA from 1 species